UAACCCCAUCUUUAUUCUGCUUAACAAUACCAGCAGAGAAAACUAAUUAGGUACAUUUCACCCAUUUCCAUGUUAAUGUUUUGUUUGUUGCCAUUGUUUGAGGAGACAAUGGGCAGAGAUGCUAAUGAAGGAGUCCCCAAUAACAGUGUCCUAAUGGGAGCCCAUUCACAGCCAUUAGCCAAGAGGCCGCGAUGAUUCACCCCCACCUCCCUCCCCCCUCUCCCUCAGGGAUGGAGGUAUUCUCAGGCCGGUCUGAAGGUUUGGAGAAAAGGCAGGUUAACAGAUAAAGACAGAGAGAGAAAGCUCAGAACAAGCACAGCCUCAGUCUCACAGGGAUGAAUGACAAAAGAUUUAAGAUUCAUUUCCACUGCAUGGUACGGCACGGCUCGCCUCGCCUCGCCUCCUUUUGGUACCAGGUACUUUUUUCGAUUUAGUUUUUAACUGCAGAUAGUACCCCCUCACUGUAGGCGGGAUUCUUAGCUGAUCGUGACAUCAUCUUCAACGCGACACACUAACACAGGAACAAAGGAGGAUGUUGAAGGGGUGGUGUUCUGGAUUCUCGUGGCUGUUUGUUUCAGAAAAGGCUGAAGGCAGCAGGUUUGUGCAGGAGCAAUCAGUGGUCUGCAGCGUUUUAACUCCACCUUUUAGUAUCGGCUCAGCUCGCUUGGAACCUCAACCAAGGUUGUACCAAAAAAGGUACUAUCCAUAACUUUUUCCAAUGGAAAACCAAAAAAGAACGGUUCCAAGCGAGUCGAAUCGAGCCAUGCCGUGCCGUGCCAUGCAGUGGAAAUGAGGCGUUAGCUACUGAGAUCAGACAGGAUGUGUGUGUACUUGUAUAGCUGGAUUUGUACUUGACACAAGAGACUGCAACAGUCCCUCUGUACAUACCUACAGUGUAGGUUUUGAUUUAUAGUUCAGCAUUCACAGCAUUUAUAUUUGAUUUAUAGUUCAGUUCGAGACUGUCCUGCCAAGAAAAACGAGAGCAUCAUCGUCGUUUCAGCAAAUGCCAAAAAACACACGUUUACAUUGUGUCAAGUGACAAAGCCCUUUAGUGGUCGUAGUAACUAUGACUCAUGUCUUUCGGGAGCAAAGGAGGUCGUGAGGUGGCGUUAUUAUAGAGCCACAAAGAGGCUCCUCCCUCUGCACACAGAGGGUUUAGGCCAUGGUGGAUGGACUAACGCAGGAAACUGAUGUUCGCCUCAUGUUUUCUACCAACAGUCAACAUUGGUUUCCUAUAACCACAACCACGAUCGCCCUCUAACCUUAACCAGGGAGUUAUUAUGAUAUUAUACUGUGUAUAUGAGAAGUAUUUCAAUCUUUUACUUAAGUAAAAGUAGAAAUAACACAAUGUAAAAAUACUCUGUUACAAGUAAAAGUUCUGCAUUCAAAAUGUCACGUCAAGUAUUGUCAACUAAAUAUACUUGUAGUAAAAGUACUCAUUAUGCAGAAGAAUAGGAGGGGGCUCAGUGUUACGUUUUUAAAUAUUGUAUUAUUCGAUUUAUAUAAUAGAUGCAUUAAUGUUUCCGUAGCAUGGUGGCGUCAGAUCAGAAAACGCUUCUACAGGAGACUACCAGAAGAUUGCUGAGCCAGUCUUCAUCCUGCUUCAUGUUGUCUUCACUCUCAACAACCUCUGCCGGCAUCAGAAACUUGUAGCAGGAAACACAAGCUGACCGAUCACAGUUCUUACAGUGUCCGUGUUGGAUCUCCAUGGCCGCUGUGGCCCAAAGAAGCAUUUUUAAUAUUUAAAUUCUUGAGGAGGUGCACGUCUAUAGCUAUUACGCAGCCUAUAUCCCCAUAACACUCAGAUUGUGGGUACAAAAAUAUGCUCACACUGCCACAUUAUAGAAACUCCCAUUUAAAGACAAAAGGCUGGUACCUGCUAGGUAAACCAUUACAGUUUAGGGUUAAAGAAACUUUGAAACUUAAUUUCUGUAUAGCAUGAAAUAUUAAUUACUAAAUGUGCACUGGUCAUAGUUAAAGUUCAGAGAGAAACAGUCAAAAACUCAGCUAAUCGGCUUCAUCAGGACUUUUUUAGUCAUCGACAAACAACCACACAGCUGUCAUCACAUUUUUGAUUAAAAUGUUGCUAAAUCCUGAUUGGUGCAUGGACGUUUCUGACGUGAGCCUCAUCCACUUCAGGCCGGUGAGAAGAGCACAGACAGAAACACAAAUACAGAAAUCUGUCAUGUGAAGUAACACAAAUGAUGUGUUCAUGUGGGACCACAUAGCUCGCAGGAAGAAGCUGCCUGAGGUCAGGCCUGUAGUGGUUAUGGUUAAGUCUCCGGGGAAUUAAAGUAAGUCAAUGUAUGCAAUUCACUCGUAUCAGAGUAUUUCUACACUCUGGUAUUACUACUUUUACACAAGUAAAAGAUCUGAGUACUUCUUCCACCUCUGUCGGUUAUCUGCGUACAAAGGAGGGUCCUGUGUUGUGUGAUCGACGAUACUGACAUUAAAAUGAAACAGAUUUGGAGAAACUUCCAUCAUAUCAGAGUUGUAUGACGCAAACUGAAGUCGUAUAUUUAAUAAAUAAUUUUCUCUUCAUA